AAGGUUUGGAAUCAUUACAGCUUGUCUCAAGACUGAAAGGUCGGGAUGGAGAAUGUGUUACAAUGCGUGUUUGUGUUCCUAGUCUUGUGGCUUCAGUUUGGCUGGUUGCAUGGAAAAGAUGAGGUGGAGCAGAGUCCCGAGAUCCUGAGACUCCUGGAAGGAGACAGUGGCAGCCUCAACUGCAGUUACACGACCAGCUAUUUCAGAGGACUACAUUGGUACAGGCAAGAUCCUGGGAAAGGCCCCAAAUUCCUCUUUAGCCUGCAUUCAGCUGGAGAUACAAAGGAUAAAGACAGACUAAAAGCCACAUUAUCUAAGAUGGGAAGCUCUCUGCACAUCACCACCCCUAAACCUGAAGACUCAGCCACUUAUCUCUGUGCUGUGGAUGCACAGUGCUCCCCUGGCACCUGA